rnacentral:sRNA from 1 species
GCCAGGCACGGUGGUGCAUGCCUGUAAUCCCAGCAGCUCGGGAGGCUGAGGCAGGAGGAUCAUGAGUUCAAAGAGCCUCAGCAAAAAGCGAGACCUGCUGAGCAACUCAGUGAGACCUUGUCUCUU